rnacentral:lncRNA from 12 species
CAGUAAUGUACUGUAUUUUGAGUCAAAUUUGUUGUUUUUGUCUGUCUGUAUUUUAUCUUCCCCUGAAAAACAGAAACACGUGUGUGCGUGCAUGUUACACUUUGUUCCAGUUUCCCCAAGCCUUGCCUUCAUUUGUCCUUUAAUGCAUUUGUUUUGCAGCUGUCACAAACUAGUGGAAUUUAUCUGUGGUUGUCAAGUGAAUGCCUCGGUGCCUCCAGAUGUUUAGUCUGGGCGUCCCGCCGCAGGAAACAAACAAGCCAGAGAGAGAGAGAGCUGAUACACACUCAACCGGGAAGCAGAGGCCACUUGUCGGCCUGGUGAACCUACAGGGUGGCCAGAUGAAACCUGCUGAGCUGUCUCUGCCGCCCAAGACAAAGGGGACACUCAGCAUUACUCCGGGAUCACAGCCAGAAGGAGAAAGGAGCUGAAGGAAGCUUUUAUUCACCGCAAGAUGAAGUUUAGCAGCCACAGGAGGAAACUGUAACAAGAAGACACAGGCUGUUUAAAUCAAAAGAUCAAAAGGUUGUGCUUGUUGUUAUCGUAGCAUGAUAACAAGUGACGAGAUGCUUUAAACUGUCCAGAGCUCUUGGUACUCGGGGCAGAAUCUCAGAGUCGGGCAGACCGAAUGGAGAGAUUAGAGAAGAGAGGGGAUCACGUUUCAAAAACAGAGAGAGGGUGAAGGUCAGUGCAGGGUCAAUAAUCCCUCUUAACAUGAUGAAAGCAAUCGUGCUUCUCAGUAGAGUGCAGAGAUGAAGAUGAGCUGCUUUAGGCCAGAAACAUGCAACAAUGCAAAAAACAUAUGAGCAAAAUCCAUGAAUAUGAUAUUCGAUAUUUUAACCCCUAAAUAGUUUUAUUAUUAUUUAAACAUAAAUCUCAGUAAAUUAUUUUAGAUUCUUAUUUUAUUUAAUUUUUUUUUUUAAAUGUUCAAAUAUUUGCCAGUGGAGUAAGAAAAAUAAAUAAGGCUCACGCAAUAUCUCAUGCAAUUUUUCAAAAGUAAAUGCACAUUGUUUAUAUUACUGGAAAAUAAUACAAAAAUCAUGAAUAAAAAUUAUUUUGCAGUAAGUAAGUUCACAAACCUGGAUGUGAAAAUAACCAUUUAAUAGUUUGGGGUCUGUAACAUUUUUAAAUGUUUACCAAGGCUUGCCAAGGCUGCACGGGGAAGUUGUGGCCUAAUGGUUAGAGAGUUUAACUCCUAACCCUAAGGUUGUGAGUUUGAGUCUUUCACUUUCACUUUCAUUUAUUUGCAUUUAUUUAUCCUGAAUACAGUAAAAAAAACAAGUACCCAGUAAUUUUGUGAAAUAUUACAUUACAUUAUAAUUUAAAAGAACUGUUUUCUGUUUUAAGAUAUUUUAAAAUGAAUUAAUUUAGAGAAAAAAAAGGGAAAGU